GUGAACUGUGCAUCCACCUGAACCAAUAAACUCGAUAACUAUAUAGCGGUGAUAAAGUGAAUGAACACAUCAAAAUAACAAAUCGACCGCGUUAUCAUUUUUCAAUUUAAUAAGAAUUUUCGAACACUCGAAAUAUGUGUGAUGCAAACUGCGACUGUAUGGUCGAGAGCAUUGACCACCUCGUACUCACAGUGGCAAAUAUUGAGCAAACGAUCGAUUUCUAUACACAAAUAUUGGGCAUGACGGUGUCGGUUUUUGGAUCUGGACGAAAAGCUCUGCAUUUCGGCAGUCAAAAGAUAAAUUUACAUCAAAUUGGUCAUGAAUUUAAACCGCAUGCGCAAAAGCCGACAUGUGGAAGUGUUGAUAUUUGUUUCGUGACGAAACAAUCGCUUGAAUUGUGGAUUGAUAAAUUAAAAGCAUUGCAAGUCCCUGUCGAAGAAGGACCUGAUCCAAGAACUGGAGCUGUGGCAUCAAUGAAUUCAUUAUAUAUUCGCGAUCCGGAUAAUAACCUCGUUGAAAUCGCGUAUUACAGUUAGAUUACAUGAUUAUGACGAUGAUAUGGCAGUGAUGUGAUAAUUAAUAUGCUAAUAUGUUUCAAAUGGAACACUAA